rnacentral:rRNA from 1 species
GACGAACGCUGGCGGCGUGCUUAACACAUGCAAGUCGAACGGUGAAGCGCCUUCCUUUUUGGUGGGUGUGGAUGAGUGGCGAACGGGUGAGUAACACGUGAGUAACCUGCCCCCUUCUUCUGGAUAACCGCAUGAAAGUGUGGCUAAUACGGGAUAUUCUGGGUCUGUCGCAUGAUGGGUCUGGGAAAGAUAUUGUUUCGGUGGGGGAUGGGCUCGCGGCCUAUCAGCUUGUUGGUGGGGUGAUGGCCUACCAAGGCGGUGACGGGUAGCCUGCCUGAGAGGGUGGACGGUCACACUGGGACUGAGACACGGCCCAGACUCCUACGGGAGGCAGCAGUGGGGAAUAUUGCACAAUGGGCGCAAGCCUGAUGCAGCGACGCCGCGUGAGGGAUGGAGGCCUUCGGGUUGUGAACCUCUUUCGCCAGUGAAGCAGGCCUGCCUCGUUUGUGGGUGGGUUGACGGUAGCUGGAUAAGAAGCGCCGGCUAACUACGUG